CAUUUACCUGGAUGCCCAGUUUUCUGCAUACAACACCGGACUCCAAAAUUGAAAUAUCAGGAUCUCACAAAAAUUGGAGCCUGGCUGCAGGUGUGCCGCCAGGAUUGGAGCCUGACUGCAAAUGUGCCUCCAGAGAAACUAUCAAGUCUCCAGUUCUUCCUGUCACAAUGAUACCAGCUCUACAUCCAUACCCCAGCAGGAAGUAAUUACAGAAGACUGACCUUCAUCCAUGUACCC